rnacentral:rRNA from 1 species
AGAGUUUGAUCAUGGCUCAGGAUGAACGCUAGCGGCAGGCUUAACACAUGCAAGUCGAGGGGUAUAGGUUUUCGGACCUAGAGACCGGCGCACGGGUGCGUAACGCGUAUGCAAUCUACCUUUUACAGAGGGAUAGCCCAGAGAAAUUUGGAUUAAUACCUCAUAGUAUUAUUGAAUGGCAUCAUUUAAUAAUUAAAGUCACAACGGUAAAAGAUGAGCAUGCGUCCCAUUAGCUAGAUGGUAAGGUAACGGCUUACCAUGGCAACGAUGGGUAGGGGUCCUGAGAGGGAGAUCCCCCACACUGGUACUGAGACACGGACCAGACUCCUACGGGAGGCAGCAGUGAGGAAUAUUGGUCAAUGGGCGCAAGCCUGAACCAGCCAUGCCGCGUGCAGGAUGAAGCAUCUAUGGUGUGUAAACUGCUUUUGUACGAGAAGAAACACUCCUACGUGUAGGAGCUUGACGGUAUCGUAAGAAUAAGGACCGGCUAACUCCGUGCCAGCAGCCGCGGUAAUACGGAGGGUCCAAGCGUUAUCCGGAAUCAUUGGGUUUAAAGGGUCCGUAGGCGGUUUUGUAAGUCAGUGGUGAAAGCCCAUCGCUCAACGGUGGAACGGCCAUUGAUACUGCAAGACUUGAAUUAUUGGGAAGUAACUAGAAUAUGUAGUGUAGCGGUGAAAUGCUUAGAGAUUACAUGGAAUACCAAUUGCGAAGGCAGGUUACUACCAAUAUAUUGACGCUGAUGGACGAAAGCGUGGGGAGCGAACAGGAUUAGAUACCCUGGUAGUCC